CGCGGGGUGGAGCAGCUCGGUAGCUCGUCGGGCUCAUAACCCGAAGGUCAUCGGUUCAAAUCCGGUCCCCGCUACCA
rnacentral:tRNA from 2 species